rnacentral:rRNA from 1 species
ACCCGGGCUCAAAGGGGAUUAGAUACCCCUGUAGUCCCGGCCGUAAACGAUGCGGGCUAGCUGUCGGCCGGGCUUAGGGCCCGGCCGGUGGCGAAGGGAAACYGUUAAGCCCGCCCGCCUGGGGAGUACGGCCGCAAGGCUGAAACUUAAAGGAAUUGGCGGGGGGGCACCACAAGGGGUGAAGCUUGCGGCUUAAUUGGAGUCAACGCCGGAAACCUCACCCGGGGCGACAGCAGGAUGAAGGCCAGGCUAACGACCUUGCCGGACGAGCUGAGAGGAGGUGCAUGGCCGUCGUCAGCUCGUGCCGUGAGGUGUCCGGUUAAGUCCGGCAACGAGCGAGACCCCCGCCCCUAGUUGCUUUCCCGCCCUUCGGGGCGGGAGGCACACUAGGGGGACUGCCGGCGUAAGCCGGAGGAAGGAGGGGGCCACGGCAGGUCAGUAUGCCCCGAAACCCCGGGGCUGCACGCGGGCUGCAAUGGCGGGGACAGCGGGAUCCGACCCCGAAAGGGGGAGGCAAUCCCGUAAACCCCGCCCCAGUAGGGAUCGAGGGCUGCAACUCGCCCUCGUGAACGUGGAAUCCCUAGUAACCGCGUGUCACCAACGCGCGGUGAAUACGUCCCUGCCCCUUGCACACACCGCCCGUCAA